AUCCUGUUUAAACCAUGCACGUACUAACAUUAGCAGCAUAAGAGAGAGAAAAAAUGCUGGCAAGGCAGCUAAAAUAGCAAAGUUGAUUUCAUUAGCCUUGAGAAUCUGAUCCAGUUCAAGCAUUGCCGUCUCAAUGUCUAGUUUUAGCUUCUGAACCUGGAUGAGCAAAGCACGAGCAAGCUCCCCACUUAAAAGAUUUUGAAUAGGGUGCAUAAGUUCUUUCUCAUACCUUGCCAUAACUAUUUCAAGCAUUUCCUGAUCUGAUGCAUUCUCUGGAAACUUUUGUCCUUUUGUCUGCUCACUAAAAGCCAAUAACAUUCUGUGCAAAGAAUUUGCAGUCAGCUGCACUUCUUCUAUCUCCAUCACUCCUUUGUGUCUCUUCCUGAAUGUAUCAAAAAGUUCAUCUCUAAUAGACAAAAGUGGCUGCUCCACAUGUUCAUUAAAGAAGCUAACAGUUGAGUCCUUUGCAUCACGAAUCCAAUUGUCAAUAUCAGGACUUCCCAUCAAACGACUAUGCCUCAGGAGCCACAUAGAACAAACAGAUAGACCAACUGCACCACAUGUGUAAGGAAUCCAGUACUGUGUUACUUUCUUUGGCUUU
rnacentral:misc_RNA from 1 species